rnacentral:piRNA from 1 species
UAUUUGGGGAGAAACUGCGAGAACA